rnacentral:rRNA from 1 species
ACGAACGCUGGCGGCGUGGAUAAGACAUGCAAGUCGAACGAGAGAAUUGCUAGCUUGCUAAUAAUUCUCUAGUGGCGCACGGGUGAGUAACACGUGAGUAACCUGCCCCCGAGAGCGGGAUAGCCCUGGGAAACUGGGAUUAAUACCGCAUAGUAUCGAAAGAUUAAAGCAGCAAUGCGCUUGGGGAUGGGCUCGCGGCCUAUUAGUUAGUUGGUGAGGUAACGGCUCACCAAGGCGAUGACGGGUAGCCGGUCUGAGAGGAUGUCCGGCCACACUGGAACUGAGACACGGUCCAGACACCUACGGGUGGCAGCAGUCGAGAAUCAUUCACAAUGGGGGAAACCCUGAUGGUGCGACGCCGCGUGGGGGAAUGAAGGUCUUCGGAUUGUAAACCCCUGUCAUGUGGGAGCAAAUUAAAAAGAUAGUACCACAAGAGGAAGAGACGGCUAACUCUGUGCCAGCAGCCGCGGUAAUACAGAGGUCUCAAGCGUUGUUCGGAAUCACUGGGCGUAAAGCGUGCGUAGGCUGUUUCGUAAGUCGUGUGUGAAAGGCGCGGGCUCAACCCGCGGACGGCACAUGAUACUGCGAGACUAGAGUAAUGGAGGGGGAACCGGAAUUCUCGGUGUAGCAGUGAAAUGCGUAGAUAUCGAGAGGAACACUCGUGGCGAAGGCGGGUUCCUGGACAUUAACUGACGCUGAGGCACGAAGGCCAGGGGAGCGAAAGGGAUUAGAUACCCCUGUAGUCCUGGCAGUAGACGGUGCACGCUUGGUGUGCGGGGAAUCGACCCCCUGCGUGCCGGAGCUAACGCGUUAAGCGUGCCGCCUGGGGAGUACGGUCGCAAGAUUAAAACUCAAAGAAAUUGACGGGGACCCGCACAAGCGGUGGAGUAUGUGGCUUAAUUCGAUGCAACGCGAAGAACCUUACCUGGGCUUGACAUGUAAUGAACAACAUGUGAAAGCAUGCGACUCUUCGGAGGCGUUACACAGGUGCUGCAUGGCCGUCGUCAGCUCGUGUCGUGAGAUGUUUGGUUAAGUCCAGCAACGAGCGCAACCCCUGUUGCCAGUUACCAGCACGUGAAGGUGGGGACUCUGGCGAGACUGCCCAGAUCAACUGGGAGGAAGGUGGGGACGACGUCAGGUCAGUAUGGCCCUUAUGCCCAGGGCUGCACACGUACUACAAUGCCCAGUACAGAGGGGGCCGAAGCCGCGAGGCGGAGGAAAUCCUGAAAACUGGGCCCAGUUCGGACUGUAGGCUGCAACCCGCCUACACGAAGCCGGAAUCGCUAGUAAUGGCGCAUCAGCUACGGCGCCGUGAAUACGUUCCCGGGUCUUGUACACACCGCCCGUCACAUCAUGGAAGCCGGUCGCACCCGAAGUAUCUGAAGCCAACCGCAAGGAGGCAGGGUCCUAAGGUGAGACUGGUAACUGGGAUG